GUCCCUAGGGACAUCCGAUAAAAUUGCAACGAUACAGAGAAGAUUAGCAUGGCCCCUACGCAAGGAUGACACGCGUAAAUUGAGAAAUGGUCCAAAAAAAGGUUAUU
rnacentral:snRNA from 1 species